UGCACACAUGACUAAGUCGCUUUGGAUAAAAGCAUCUGGUAAAUGGCUUAUA
rfam:Salmo salar isolate Sally breed double haploid chromosome ssa16, whole genome shotgun sequence.